CUCUGUGACUCCUACGGGAGGCAGCAUGGGGAAUAUUGCACAAUGGGGGAAACCCUGAUGCAGCCAUGCCGCGUGUGUGAAGAAGGCCUUCGGGUUGUAAAGCACUUUCAGUAGGGAGGAAGGUAGUGUAGUUAACACCUGCACUAUUUGACGUUACCUACAGAAGAAGCACCGGCUAACUCCGUGCCAGCAGCCCGCGGUAAUACGGAGGGUGCGAGCGUUAAUCGGAAUUACUGGGCGUAAAGCGCAUGCAGGCGGCCUGUUAAGUCAGAUGUGAAAGCCCCGGGGCUUAACCUCGGAAUUGCAUUUGAAACUGGCAGGCUAGAGUCUUGUAGAGGGGGUAGAAUUUCAGGUGUAGCGGUGAAAUGCGUAGAGAUCUGAAGGAAUACCAGUGGCGAAGGCGGCCCCCUGGACAAAGACUGACGCUCAGAUGCGAAAGCGUGGGGAGCAAACAGGAUUAGAUACCCUGGGAA
rnacentral:rRNA from 1 species